rnacentral:rRNA from 1 species
CCUACGGGGGGCUGCAGUGGGGGAUAUUGGACAAUGGGGGAAACCCUGAUCCAGCGACGCCGCGUGAGUGAAGAAGUAUUUCGGUAUGUAAAGCUCUAUCAGCAGGGAAGAAAGAAAUGACGGUACCUGAGUAAGAAGCCCCGGCUAACUACGUGCCAGCAGCCGCGGUAAUACGUAGGGGGCAAGCGUUAUCCGGAAUUACUGGGUGUAAAGGGAGCGUAGACGGUAAUGCAAGUCUGGAGUGAAAGGCGGGGGCCCAACCCCCGGACUGCUCUGGAAACUGUGUAACUGGAGUGCAGGAGAGGUAAGUGGAAUUCCUAGUGUAGCGGUGAAAUGCGUAGAUAUUAGGAGGAACAUCAGGGGCGAAGGCGACUUACGGGACUGUAACUGACACUGAGGCACGAAAGCGUGGGGAGCAAACAGGAUUAGAUACCCUUGUAGUC